rnacentral:rRNA from 1 species
ACGGGAAAGCUUUCGGGUGAGUACUAGUGGCGCACGGGUGAGUAACGCGUGGAUAAUCUGCCUUGAAGAGGGGGAUAACUAGUCGAAAGAUUAGCUAAUACCGCAUAAGACCACAAGAACUGAGGUUCAAGGGGUCAAAGGUUUUUCGCUUCAAGAUGAGUCCGCGUAAGAUUAGCUAGUUGGUGAGGUAAUGGCUCACCAAGGCAACGAUCUUUAACUGGUCUGAGAGGAUGAUCAGUCACACUGGAACUGAGACACGGUCCAGACUCCUACGGGAGGCAGCAGUAGGGAAUAUUGCACAAUGGAGGAAACUCUGAUGCAGCGACGCCGCGUGAGUGAUGAAGGCCUUCGGGUCGUAAAGCUCUGUCGCAGGGGAAUAACACAAUGAAUGUACCCUGUAAGAAAGGAUCGGCUAACUUCGUGCCAGCAGCCGCGGUAAGACGAGGGAUCCUAGCGUUGUUCGGAAUCAUUGGGCGUAAAGCGGGUGUAGGUGGCUUUGUAAGUCAGGUGUGAAAGCCUAGGGCUCAACCCUAGAAGUGCAUUUGAUACUGCGAAGCUUGAGUGCUAGAGAGGUUACUAGAAUUGUUGGUGUAGUGGUGAAAUACGUAGAUAUCAACAGGAAUACCGGUGGCGAAGGCGGGUAACUGGCUAGACACUGACACUCAGACCCGAAAGCGUGGGGAUCAAACAGGAUUAGAUACCCUGGUAGUCCACGCCGUAAACGAUGGAUACUUGUUGUGGAGUGCCCCCCC